CUCUGAGUUCAAAGCCAGCCUGCUCAACAUAACUAGUUACAGGGCAGCCACAGCUACACAGUGAAACCCUGUGUCAAAUCAAACAAACAAAAGACAAAACAAGAAACAACAAUAAUAACAACAACACUCCUAAAUAAACCUCAUCCGAACCAUGAGGUUGAUGACCCGGAAGUCCUUCUGCAGACCGUGACCCACAAACUUGACUCCAAUAUCAAUGAGAAAACGAAGCUUUAGGUAGGUAGACUUGAGAGUUGUGAGGUGCUUGGAGGAAAUUUUGGCAUCAAGGUCUCCUGGCUUUAUCCCCGAGUACUGAGUCAAGUAAUCUACUACCUAGGGACCGAGAGAAAGACAAAUCACUAGGACAUGAGAAGGUGCGGUCUCUUCCUGCCACUCUCCCCAGGGUUCUCAGACACUCUAUGCAAGCACAGACUUGGCCUCAGUGGCCCCUUCAUACCUGCUCCUGAGUAGAGAUGUAGUCAUCAAUGAAGGGAAUACCCUCAUUAGGCCCUUGGCCCCGAACACAGGUGAUCCUUGCUACUGACAUCUGGCUUGGUUUAAUGGUAGACUUGGUACCAUCACUGCGUAACUCUGCUUCUUCCUAUGUCACAAGAGUCAGUAUGGACACCAGAGAAUACUCAGAAUUCCCGAUCUCCUCAGAGUUCUGUCCCUCGGCCCCGUCCUUUUGGCUGUGUACCUCAUUCAGAGUGACAAACUCGGCAUCGAGGCCCACCAGGUCCCCAACCUGUGGCAUCUCAUUCAGCAUCAGGGGAAUGAAGCUUACAAAAUCCAGAAAAACAAAGCUACAGAGAAACUACUGUUUAAGGGGACCAAACUGGCACUUCCGAGGGAGCCCGACCCCUAAGAAGAGAUACCACUGGGGAUAACGGCUGGCGUGGGGCCGGCUGGCAGGCGCAGUGGGUAAAGCACUCGCUCCGCAAGCCUGAAGGGAGAACUGAUGCCUCCAAGUUGUCCCUUGGCCUCUACACACCCAGUAACAACAGAUAAACACUGUAAUAAAUGGCAUUGAAAAAGGA